AUAAACUUGAUAAAGAGAAGAGUAGUUAAGUCUUUGGGAUUAAAGAGAGCUUCGUUUUGGUGAAAGAAGAUAAACAAAACUUAAUGAACAUGGCCUCUUUGAAGGAAGGUUCGAUAAUUAGAGCCUGACGGGAACUCCCGUUAUAGAGUCAGGGUAUGAUUGUACCUAGUGAGUUUAUAUGCGUGAGCAUAUAUUAAAUAAAGGUGGUAACACGAGCUUUCGUCCUUUUA
rfam:Peptoniphilus lacrimalis 315-B contig00017, whole genome shotgun sequence.